CAACAAUUGCUAUCUGGAACUCGACGAAGAAGAUGUUGGAGAGAAAUUUCAAACGUUCGUCAAAGAAAGUUUAUUUAUUUGGCCAUUGAGCUCAGACUAAUCAAUCCUAUUUUGCAUAGUUCCGGCCAAUAAUCCUGACAAAAUAUUUUCUACUAAACCACCCGUCCUGCCUCUCUCUCGGUCAAAUCCUUUUGAUCACCCUGUUCUCCUUGUAGCUAUCCGCAUUCUGAUCCCGGUAUCCUCUACUAUUUAAUCAGUUCUGACGCCGUUGUUUACAAUCGACUCCCAGAUGAUAAGAAUGCUUACUUUGACUCGCUGACUGAACUUACUUUACCACUUAUAUCGAUAAACAGCAUCCCGUUUGGAAUGGAGAAACUUUGGAUGUCGGUCGAGUUACGGAUUUCUUUCCUCCCAUUCUUUUCAAAAUGUCCUCGUGUACGCCCAUGUGAAUGUGGGUGUAUUCACGAGGACAUCCUUUAUACCCUAUCCUGUCUGGUGUAAUUUAAUUCUUCAGCGGAUGGAUGGAUCAACUGUAGAUGCCUGGCUGCAUUUCCCAGGCGCCAAGGACAGAAAUGAAGCGUUGGCGUCACUUGGAGGUAAUGUAUUUAUUAAGUGUGCACCUUUAUUAACUCUGCCCCGAGUUACAUAAACGAAGAGGUAACAUCGAACUUAAGAAUUCUCUCAGAAUUUUGAUGGUCUUUAAAUUUUUUAUGGUGUCUAUCUGUGAUUAUACUGUCACAUUUCGGGGG